UACGUAGGAGACGAGCGUUGUCCGGAUUUACUGGGCGUAAAGGGUGCGCAGGUGGCGGCGCGCGUGGGGGGUGAAAUCGCCCGGCUUAACUGGGCGGGGGCCUUCCAGACGGCGUGGCUUGAGCAGCGGAGGGGGACGUGGAAUUCCGGGUGGAGCGGUGAAAUGCGUAGAGAUCCGGAGGAACACCGACGGCGCAGGCAGCGUCCUGGCCGAUUGCUGACACUGAGGCACGAAAGCUGGGGGAGCAAACAGG
rnacentral:rRNA from 1 species